UACGUAGGUGGCAAGCGUUGUCCGGAUUUACUGGGCGUAAAGAGCGCGCAGGCGGUCGAUUUAGUCGCGUGUGAAAGCCCCCCGGCUCAACUGGGGAGGGUCACGCGAUACUGAUCGACUCGAAGGCAGGAGAGGGUAGUGGAAUUCCCGGUGUAGUGGUGAAAUGCGUAGAUAUCGGGAGGAACACCGGUGGCGAAGGCGGGGUUGCUGGGCUGAUACUGACGCUGAGGCACGAAAGCGUGGGGAGCAAACAGGG
rnacentral:rRNA from 1 species